ensembl:lncRNA
CACUUGGCAUACCUACCUAUGGGCCCCGGGCAGGGGAAGAGCCAACCACGAGCCACACAGGCUAAACCACCUAGCUGUCCCAAGAGAGGAAGCGAGUCAGGCAGGCAGGAGGCAGGUGAAAGCAGCAUGGGGUGGCGGGGUGGCGGGGUGGGGGUGUUAGUCAUCAGCCGUCAGUGGGAGGGUGUGCCAUCUGGAGUUCCCGGAAAUUGCAAGUCUGUGAGCUACAGGGAGUUGGGUGACUAGAGUUGGGGUGGGUUUUCAUCACCUUUUAGGACUUGCUUCUCGGGCCUGCCGGGAAGGUGUCUGUGGUCAAGGCUUUUCUCCUCUUUGACUCUGCGGGGUUGGGUGAGUGCACAGAGCUGGGGGAUGGGGGGGGGAUGUACUGAGAUCUCCGAGGUGGGUGUGUCAGGCCCCGCCCAGGAGCAGGUCCUACCAGCGAAGUUCAGCCCAGCCCAGAGUGUCGGCGGAAGAGGACUUGGGGCAGCGGCAGAGGAAGGGCAACUGAACACAGCUGCUGUUUUCGUGCUGACCCUGAGCUCUCUGAGGUUGGCUCCCCUCCUACCCACUCAUCCUGUACCGCCAGGUCCUAACCUGGAAGACACGGAGAAGAUCUGAUUCAAGUUGAUUAAUGAGCUUACUGGGAAAGAUGUCUGUCCCAGCUCACCGAGGUUUCCCCAUCUUUGCCAUCUGGCCUGGCACCGGGCCCAUACAGCUCCAGAGCCAGGAGCCCAGGGAGAGCUCAGGGAAGGAGGGGAACGUGGUAAGGGGCCUGGCGGGAGCCUGGCAGCUUGGCCUUUCUGUCUGUUGGAAAGAGACAGCUUUUUCACAGACUCUAUUGUCAAGAAGCCCAAGAACUUCUCUUUGGGAUGGGUAAUGAGAGCAUUGCCGUUUCCUUUUCUAGGGAAUCCCUUGGUUCAUCUUUAAGUAGCGGCUCAAAGAAUCCAUGUUUGUCUGUUUGAACCUUCUAACUUAUCUUAACAGAAAGACUUGGAAUUCUUGAAAAGAAUGCAUUCCUGCCUUCACUCAGUGUAUGGAAUGUUCUUCCUAAUUGUAAGGAGUUGUUGAUUUUACAAGUAAUGGUUAAAAAUGAUAAGAUCUUGCUGUUUUACCCAUAAACUGUUUUCAAAGAUAAAUUCUGAAAAAAAUAUAUUAAUUUUUGUAAUUUAUUUCCUUUAUUUUAUGUGCAGUGGUGCUUUGUCUGCCUGCAUGUCUGUGUGAGGGUGUCAGAUACCUUGGAAUCAGAGUACCUUGGAAUCAGAGUCGCAGACAAGUGUGAGCUUCCACGUGGGUGCUCUUCCCUUGGAAUGCUGGGAAGCGGACUCUGGUCCUCUGUGAGAGCGGUGCUGCCUCUCACCUGCCAUCUCUCCAGCCCCCUUACCGAAACCGUGAUGCAAGUGUUUCCCAUAUGGCCUGUUCAGUCGGUAACGGAGCAGACGCAGAAGUGUGGUAAAUGGAUCGGUGGCUACAGUAGCACUAAGAAAGGGUUAAUUCUUUGUUGGAUGGAAACCAUUUUCCUUCCAAGCGGCCAAAGAGAUUCACUCUGGGGGGCCUAAGUGCAGGGGCUGAAGUAUGUGUCUAAGAAUGUGGUCCUCACCCUAGGGCUUUACCGUGUAGCUGAGGGAAAGGAUAAAGACACAAAACAGCUGAUGGGUUAAAAGCACUUAACAG